GCGUCCUUUGUUCGCGCCUGUCUCCGUCCGUCGCCGCCUAACACUAGCUGAUUUGGUUCCAUCCAUUGAAGCCCAGUUGCAGCUCUGCAUCGUUGGUGUCGGAGUUGAGCACGCGUUCUGUCGUCGUCCGUAAAGCGUCGCUGCACGACUCUCCGCUUUCUAGCUGCGAGAUCGACGUCCACAUCCAUUUUCGUUCAUAUCUAUUUUGCACACACCGAUUCCAUCUAUCCGCGCUGCGCUGUCUUGUUGUGAUUUUUGGAGAGGUUGUGCGUAAAUUCUUGAGUUUCACAUCAAGCUUCAUUGGAAGUUUAUGCUUCAUUCAACUUGGGUUUGUUUUGUUGAAUUCAGUUCGAUCAAGAACUCAAAGUAAGAGUUCCUACUACUGGACUCAAUAAUGAAAUUGAGAUGUAUUGACGGCAAAUGUAAUACAAGAGGCAGACCGACGAGGGACCAGAAGGAGACGUGACUGUCAUAGGGGGAUUUUCUUCAAAAUUGCUUCCGCUUACAGUCUUUUAUUUGUUUUACUUUAGUAUUUAUGACUGAAAUGGGUUUCAUGUUUAGAACGACUAUUUAUUUCUUAAUUUUAUAAACUAUACUUUUGAACCUUAAGUUUUGUUUGAAAUAGGGCCCGAAUAAAAUUCUUCGAUGUUUAUUUAUUUUAACAGAUUUUAUAAACUCUUAUGUUUAAAAGAAGUGUCUUUGAGCAAUGACCUCAAUUUAGAUAGAAAAGUUGGAUCGUUAUAAGUCAGUUGCACUAAAGUGAUCUUGGAGUUAGUCACAAGAUUUUAUUGUUGGAACUUAGAAUUUAUCACAUGAAGGUGCUUGUCGGAGUUGAUUUUCAUCAGAAAGUUUGUUAUUGGAGGUGGUUAUCGAAGUCCAAAAUUGGUCGUAAAAUUUGUCACGCAAAUGUGGUCAUUAUAGUUGGUCGUCGGAGGUGGCUAGCAGACUUGAAUGUGUGAAAGUGGUUGUCGAAGUUGGUUCUUGAAGUGUAGCAAUGGUAAUCAUCAAUGGUGUGGUUGAUUGGUGAACAUGCAUUAGAAACCGACUUUGGCCUUUAAAGUCGGUUUUCAACUAACAUUUUUGGUACCGUUAUUGAAGCUCUUUAAUGUCAGCUGAGUUUUGUUUUUGGUUUAAAACCGACAUUAAAGCCUUCUUUUAUGGUCCAUUUUUACAAUUUCUUUUAUUUAAUUGUUGCAUUAUUGUC